UACGGAGGGUGCAAGCGUUAAUCGGAAUUACUGGGCGUAAAGCGCACGCAGGUGGCUGAGUCAGUCGAUUGUGAAAGCCCUGGGCUUAACCUGGGAAUUGCAGUCGAUACUACUCAGCUAGAGUAUGGGAGAGGUAGUGGAAUUCCCGGUGUAGCGGUGAAAUGCGUAGAUAUCUGGAGGAACACCGGUGGCGAAGGCGGCAUCCUGGACCAAUACUGACGCUGAGGAGCGAAAGCCAGGGGAGCAAAGCGGG
rnacentral:rRNA from 1 species